UGCACAAUGCUCUGGCCAUU
rnacentral:misc_RNA from 1 species